UACGUAGGGUGCAAGCGUUGUCCGGAAUUAUUGGGCGUAAAGAGCUCGUAGGCGGCUUGUCACGUCGACUGUGAAAACCCGGGGCUCAACUCCGGGCCUGCAGUCGAUACGGGCAGGCUAGAGUUCGGUAGGGGAGACUGGAAUUCCUGGUGUAGCGGUGAAAUGCGCAGAUAUCGGGAGGAACACCUAUGGCGAAGGCAGCUCGCUGGGACGUUACUGACGCUGAGACGCGAAAGCGUGGGGAGCAAACAGG
rnacentral:rRNA from 1 species